rnacentral:rRNA from 1 species
GAUGAACGCUGGCGGCGUGCCUAAUACAUGCAAGUCGAGCGAACGGACGAGAAGCUUGCUUCUCUGAUGUUAGCGGCGGACGGGUGAGUAACACGUGGAUAACCUACCUAUAAGACUGGGAUAACUUCGGGAAACCGGAGCUAAUACCGGAUAAUAUUUUGAACCGCAUGGUUCAAAAGUGAAAGACGGUCUUGCUGUCACUUAUAGAUGGAUCCGCGCUGCAUUAGCUAGUUGGUAAGGUAACGGCUUACCAAGGCAACGAUGCAUAGCCGACCUGAGAGGGUGAUCGGCCACACUGGAACUGAGACACGGUCCAGACUCCUACGGGAGGCAGCAGUAGGGAAUCUUCCGCAAUGGGCGAAAGCCUGACGGAGCAACACCGCGUGAGUGAUCAAGGUCUUCGGAUCGUAAAACUCUGUUAUUAGGGAAGAACAUAUGUGUAAGUAACUGUGCACAUCUUGACGGUACCUAAUCAGAAAGCCACGGCUAACUACGUG